CCUACGGGAGGCAGCAGUGAGGAAUAUUGGUCAAUGGCCGGAAGGCUGAACCAGCCAUGCCGCGUGAAGGUCAGUGCCCUAUGGGCGUUAAACUUCUUUUGUGUGGGAGCAAUAAUGGUCACGUGUGGCCAGACGAGAGUACCGUACGAAUAAGCAUCGGCUAACUCCGUGCCAGCAGCCGCGGUAAUACGGGGGAUGCAAGCGUUAUCCGGAUUUAUUGGGUGUAAAGGGUGCGUAGGCUGUGAGGUAAGUCAGCGGGGAAAUGCCCCCGCUCAACGGGGUGAAGUGCAAUUGAUACUGCCUUGCUGGAAUGCGGAUGACGUGGGAGGAAUGUGUGGGGUAGCGGUGAAAUGCAUAGAUAUCACACAGAACACCGAUUGCGAAGGCAUCUCACGAAUCCGCGAUUGACGCUGAUGCACGAAAGCGUGGGUAUCAAACAGGAUUAGAUACCCUAGUAGUC
rnacentral:rRNA from 1 species